UAUUAAAAAUUUCAUUUAUUUAUAUUAUUAAAAAUUAGUGUGACUAACAAAAUAACUAAAUAGUGGCACGUGGUGUGCCACAUGUAUCUCAUGCUAAUAUAUAGAGACCAAUUUUUAAUAGUAGAAAUAGAUAAAAAAUUUUAAGA
rfam:Gossypium hirsutum cultivar TM-1 chromosome 9, whole genome shotgun sequence